rnacentral:ncRNA from 1 species
AAAAAGGCCCUUUUCAGGGCCACCAAAUCCCCUAUAUUAUUAUUA